rnacentral:rRNA from 1 species
UGUGUAGGCGGUUCUUUAAGUUUGGUGUGAAAUCUCCCGGCUCAACCGGGAGGGUGCGCCGAAUACUGAGGGACUUGGAGUGCGGGAGAGGAAAGUGGAAUUCCUGGUGUAGCGGUGAAAUGCGUAGAUAUCAGGAGGAACACCGGUGGUGUAGACGGCUUUCUGGACCGUAACUGACGCUGAAACACGAAAGCGUGGGUAGCAAACA